UAAUUCACACAGUAUGAAGAGCUUUGUGGCUUCUGGAUGUCUACUGCAAAGUCAGAAAUCUGAAACUGGUUGUUGCCAGGUGGUAACUGAGGAUCAGUCUGGAGUUCACCGUAAGCAUAUGAAGCAGUAUUCUCUUGCAGAACCAAGGAGAACACACUUAAGAUGACCUGGCGCAGCUCUGGCUCAUUUUCAGAUUUCAAACGGCUCAGAUUUGUGGGUAUCACCACCACGGGGAUAAGUGUGCACUGCUCAAGUGUACCAUUAGAAGACAUGACUUCAGUGUAUCCUUCUUCACAACUGCAUGUCCUCAUCUGCAGGAGAACAAGAGGAUUUCUACACAUAUAAGGAAGACUUUCAAAAACCAAAGAAAUUUGGCGGUUUACCUGUUACGUUUAUACCAUCUGACCUUUGACACCAGACUGUUCGGGAAGAACCUUUCCAAGCACUGGCCAUCCAUUUGUAUUCAUAACACUGUCCAUCUGCAGGGACACAAUAAACAUGAACAGAAGCAUUCUGCUGUCUAGAAGGGCAAUCGUGGGGCAAGUAUAUUAGGAAAAUAUUUAUAAACAACUGAAAAGUGGUGAAUCCAUCUCAAAAAUGAUUCGAAUGUUACUGUCCUAAAAUUACCAUAAAAAUGUUAUAAAAUUCCCGAUACAUUCCUAAAUCCCAACUAAUGUUUUAUGUCCACUGUCAUAUCUGAUGUGAACUUGGAUUUUUAAUAUAAUUUCACGUUCAAAGUAUUAUAAAAUAUCAAAUUUACAUACAGGGGCAAAUAAUAACAAAAAAUGUUCAAUUGCUUAUGCAGUUUUAACAAAUACUACCAUUUAGACAUGUUUGCUUUAGUUUUCUUUUGUCUGUUGGGGAGUGAAAAAUAAGAUGAACGUGAUGUCCUAUUAUUAGGUCCUCUUCCUGUUGUGAUAUUCCUCCAUAUCUAUCCAGCAAAAGCCACUAUUUUAAAGUAGAUACAUGCAUUCCUUUGCCAUGUUUUUUAUUUUUAAUAUAAUACAUUAUAUGAGGUAUGUAUAUAUCCAUAAAAUACAGCACAUCUGGUCCUCAAACAACAUGGAGGUUAGGGGCAUGUACCCCUAUGCAGUCUAAAGUCUGUGUAGAACUUUGACUCCCCAGAAUUUAACUAUAAACAGCCUACUGCUGACCGGAAGCCUUACUGAUAGACAGUCAGUUAACACAUACUUUGUAUUAUAUGUGUUAUGUACUAUGUGCUUAAAAUAAAGAAAACCAUAAGGAAGAGAAAGUAUAGUUAUGGCAUUUCUAUUAAAAAAAUCCACAUGUAAGUAGACCUGCAGGAUUCAAACCAUGUUCAAAGGUCAACUGGAUUAUCAAAAAUUCUAAAAGUAUACUGUAUGUGUCAAUCUGAAACAUUCAGUAUUGUAGAAGAAAUAUUUCUAUGUGAUUUUUUUAUAAUGUAGCUCUGGUCUUACUUAACUGCUAUAUAAAAUUCCACUAUACUAAAUGCCACAGUUUUGUGUUUGUUUGUUUUUAGCUAUUUCUUCUCUGGAUGGCCUUUUAGGUUGUUUUCAAUUUUUGCUAUUAGUACAAUGCCUCAGUGGUCCACCUUCUGCAAGUCUCCUUGUGCUUCUUUAAAGUAAAUAUCGAGAAGAGAAAUUGCUGUGUAUCACCAUAUGGAUGGCUGCAACCUUCCUAAAUAUAACUUUUUUUUCCCUCCCCAAAACAACAAUCCACACACCCACCAGCAGUGAAUAAGGGUUAUCAUUGCUUAAGCCUUUAAUAACAUUGAUAAUUGCCAGAUUUAAAACUUCUGGUUUGUCUGGUGGGUGUGGAAGCUGUAUUGUCAUUCAAAAAUUUUUAAUGUUUACUUACUUUUGUGUGUGUGUGUGUGAGAGACGGACAGAGUGUGAGCAGGGGAGGGCAGGAGAGAGGAAGACACAGAAUCCGAAGCAGGGUCCAGGCUAUGAGCUGUCAGCACAGAGCCAGACAGGAGGCUCGAACUAGUGAACUGCGAGAUCAUCACCUGAGCUAAAGUCGGAUGCUCAACUGACUGAGCCAGCCAGGUGCCCCUAUACUGUCCUUUUAAAUUGUAGUUCUCUAAUUACUAAAGCUAUUAAAGAGUAACAAAUGUUUUGGGGGCAUUUAGACUUCCUUUUAUGAGAAUUGCUUCUUUAUAUCUUGUGGCCAUUUUUUUAUCCUACUGAAAUCUGUGCCUUUUCUUAUUGAAUUGUGGGAAAUAAUUAUUCUAGGAUAGCAGUUCUCAAAGUAUCCUGUAGAGAACCUGGGAGACUUUGACAUUCUCCCAGGUGCGUGCGUGUGUGUGUGUGUGUACUUUUUCAAGUACACAUUCAUGUGAGUACAGCUGGGUUUUCUUCAUAUACAUAAACCAAAUAAGACUGCAACAGAUUGAAUGCAGAAGUAGAGAAUCCACCUGUCUUCCUUUAAGCCAGAUAUUAGAGAUUUGCGAAAAUGUAAAACAAGACCAUACUUGUCAAAGUUACUGUUUUUGUUUUGCAAAAUAAUUAUUUUUCAGCAAGUAUGUUAUUUAUGGUUACACAAAAUUGGUUUAUGAUUAUUUUAAAUCUUUUCAUUUUUAAUACAAACUUUUAUGUAUCUAAAAUUCACAAAAGAAAAUUUGGAUCAGUCGUUGUAGAUACUAAUCCUUGGAAAUUAAUUGCCCUCACAAAUAUAUUUUCUAAGUCUGUAGUUUCUUAGCCUUGUUUAUGAUCAUUUAUUAUGUAGAAGAUUGAAAUUUUAAUUUAAAAUAAUUUUUCUUCCUUCCCAUUUUUGUUCUUUUUGCGUCCUAUGUAGGAAAUUAUUCCCUACCUUGAGUUUACAAUGAUAUUCUUCUAUAUUUUCUUUUAAAUGUUGUAUAGUUCUAUUUCACUUUCAGGUCUAUAAUUUAUCUAAAACACAAUUUUAUGUAUGGUGUGAGAUAGAUAAUUUUAAAAACAUUACACGGGUAACAAGUUAUUGCAACAUUAUUUACCCACCUACUACCCUACUGACUUUCAUUUCUGUCAUGUAUCCAUAUAUGACAAUUCCUGAGAUUCUUUCAUUAGUUUAAUUGCUUUAUUGUUGACUUGUCGUUCUUUAAAUUAUUAAUGCUCUAGAAUAAAUUUUGAAAAAAGCCAUGUAAGUCCCCUAAUCUCUCCCACUUUUUCCUUCUUGAAAUUCUGGGAUCUUAUUGGUCUUCGACCUCUUUGUAUUAAUUUUUGGGUCAGUAUCUCAUAACACAUUAAAAAUCUGUUCAAAUUUCCAGGGUGCUUGGGUGACUCAGUCAGUUAAGCCUCCCCACUUUGGUUCAAAAAUGAUACCAUGGUUCAUGAAUUCAAGCCCCGGGUGGGGCUGUGCUGACAGCUCAGAGCCCGGAGCCUGCUUUGGAUUCUUUGUUUCCCCUCCCUCUCUUUGCCCUUCCCUCACUGUGCCUUGUCACUCAAAAAUAAAUAAAUACUAAAAAAACAAAUCUGUUCACAUUAGGAAAUGCUCAGCACGGUGAGUGUAGUUAUCAUCUGUCACAAUACAAAGUUAUUAAAAUCUUACUAUAUUCCCUCUGAUGUACUUUUUAUCCCUCUUAUUUACGUUGUAAUUGGAAAUUUGUAACUCUUAAUCUCCUUCACCUAUCACUUACCCUGGCAACUACUAGUUUGCUCCCUGUAUUUAUGAAUCUGUUUUUUUGUUUUGUUCAUUUGUUUUGUUUUCUAGGUUCCACAUAUGAGAGUAAUCAUACGGUAUUUAUCUUUGUCUGACUUACUUUAAUUAUACCCUCUAGGUUCACCCACAUUGUCUCAAAAGGCAAGAUCACAUUCUUUUGUAUGGCUGAGUAAUAGAAUAUUGCACACACAUACGUGUGUGUGUGUAUUAUACCAUAUAUUUAUCCAUUCAUUUAUUGGUGGACAUUUAGCUUGUUUUGCUCUUGUAAAUAAUGCUGCAAUAAACAUGGGGUGCAUAGGUA